rnacentral:tRNA from 1 species
UCCUGGUGGCUCAGACGGUAAAGCGUCUGCCUACAAUGCGGGAGACCCGGGUUCGAUUCCUGGGUCGGGAA